UACGUAGGUGGCGAGCGUUGUCCGGAUUUAUUGGGCGUAAAGAGCCCGCAGGCGGCUUGGCAAGUUUUAGGUGAAAUCUCCUGGCUCAACCGGGAGGGGUCCUAGAAAACUGCCAGGCUUGAGGCAGGGAGAGGGAUGCGGAAUUCCCGGUGUAGUGGUGAAAUGCGUAGAUAUCGGGAGGAACACCAGUGGCGAAGGCGGCAUCCUGGCCCUGUCCUGACGCUCAGGGGCGAAAGCGUGGGGAGCAAAC
rnacentral:rRNA from 1 species